AAUAGAUACCCUGGUAGUCCACGCCGUAAACGGUAGGCACUAGGUGUGGGCGACAUUCCACGUCGUCCGUGCCGCAGCUAACGCAUUAAGUGCCCCGCCUGGGGAGUACGGCCGCAAGGCUAAAACUCAAAGGAAUUGACGGGGGGCCCGCACAAGCGGCGGAGCAUGUGGCUUAAUUCGACGCAACGCGAAGAACCUUACCAAGGCUUGACAUACACCGGAAAACCCUGGAGACAGGGUCCCCCUUGUGGUCGGUGUACAGGUGGUGCAUGGCUGUCGUCAGCUCGUGUCGUGAGAUGUUGGGUUAAGUCCCGCAACGAGCGCAACCCUUGUCCCGUGUUGCCAGCAGGCCCUUGUGGUGCUGGGGACUCACGGGAGACCGCCGGGGUCAACUCGGAGGAAGGUGGGGACGACGUCAAGUCAUCAUGCCCCUUAUGGUCUUGGGCUGCACACGUGCUACAAUGGCCGGUACAAUGAGCGUGCGAUACCCGCGAGGUGGAGCGAAUCUCAAAAAGCCAGUCUCAGUUCGGAUUGGGGU
rnacentral:rRNA from 1 species